rnacentral:rRNA from 1 species
UACGUAGGGAGCAAGCGUUGUCCGGAAUCAUUGGGCGUAAAGCGCGCGUAGGCGGCCCUGUAAGUCCGUUGUGAAAGUCAAAGGCUCAACCUUUGAAAGCCGAUGGAUACUGCCGGGCUAGAGUACGGAAGAGGCGAGUAGAAUUCCUGGUGUAGCGGUGGAAUGCGCAGAUAUCAGGAGGAAUACCCAUAGCGAAGGCAGCUCGCUGGGACGUUACUGACGCUGAGGCGCGAAAGCGUGGGGAGCGAACAGG